UGCCCGUCUUGGCCACCUAAAAUGUUGGGAUUACAGGCGUGAGCCACCACAACUAGCCAGAGGCAUGCUGUGUUCUGUUGGCUCUUUUGCCUACCAGUGCCAGAAAUUUCCUAUACUUCUUGGCAUCUUGCUUUUCUCUCCUGUGAAAUAGGCAAUACUAGUUGCCCUAGAGAAGAAACUUAUCUAGAGAAAAAAAUGUACAAGGUAGACACAGCUGGUGAGUUACCCUUAUGCUAUUUCUAGUACUACCAAUUUCAUUUCUUCCAGAAUGAUUUAGAAUGCCACACAGUAGUUUUCCUGGUGCCAUGCUUGAAAUGGUGAAUCUAUUUGAAAGAAGUGAUUUUGUAGUCACAUUGAUGUUGCUGCUUGCUGCAAGCCAGGCAAGUCACUUAAUAGCUUUAUCCUUAAAAGAGGACUAAUGUCACCUACCUCAUGGGGUUAUGAUGAGGAUGAAAGGAGGUCUGUAACUAAGGCACUGAACAUGGUGUUUGAUACUCACUGGGUACCCAGUAAAUGUUAGUUUUCUUUGUCUAGACUAUAUAAUGCUCUUCAGUUUUUCACCCUGAUCAAAUUGCAUUUGUUAAAAAUUCCAAGUAAGACAUGGCACUGGGUACUUUAAAUAAAGGGGUGCUAAGGGAAGGUCAGCCUGCGGUAGAGGGCUGAAAAAGCCAGUUACAUUUGUUUGUUUUGUUUUGUAAUAAACAACAGUGGCUUCUCAUCUCCUUUCCCUGGUCCUGAGCCUGCUGAGUCACUGUUCCAGCCCUUGGGCCACAUGAUCUCAGGCUGUGUCUAUGGAAUACAGCAAAACCCACAAGAAACCAGCACUAAUAAAUGGCAGGUCAUUUUGAGGGAUUUUUGUUUGCGUUCCUGUGCUUGCUCUCCUGGUGAGAUAGGAAACCUUUAAUAAGACUUUUCCUAAAUGAUGUUGCAUGUGAAAUGCAGAUUUUUUUUCUCUGUUCUCCUAACAAAUGACCAUUUCAUAAGGUUUCUUUUUCAUUUUUUCUUCUUUCCUGCUUCUCAGUACAUUCCACAAAGAGCUUAUUCCUCUGCUGGUUACUGAUUGAUGGUUCUACUCUGUAUGCCCUUUAAUUUUGCAAUAAACCAACAAGGAGUUGAGACCACAAACUUAAAGAGAAUUGACUUAUUUGACUGGAUUCACUGGAGCCAACAGGCAGAUUUAGUCAUUUCAGUGUGGUCCUGGGGAGGGCAGGAGGAGUCCGUGAGAAGGAACACUGUGUUGUCAGUAACCAGACAUAAAAAAGCUUGCUUGUCCUCUCAUUCCAAAGCAUGUCGGCAUCUGUUCUCAGCAGUGAUCCCUUUCCAGGCCUUGAUGGAAGCAGGACAGCUUCUACGAGAUUUGCUCAGAACUCCAGGAUUCUGAAUUCAGUGGGACUUUAGAAGUGAAAAUAUUAGCAGAGUGGUUGGUGGCCAAGACAGAAAUAGAACCCAGGAGUCUGUGUCCUUUCCCUUGCCGUACCUACUGGAGCAUGGUUCCUCCCACCUAAAGACUCAGUGUGUCCAACUCUAACAAACAGAAUUCUAACAGUUGACUGGUUUCUUCUUGCCACUGAAAAUUUGUUUUAUACUUAAACAUUUUGUACAGUUUUUUCUUUAUGAAUGAUUUUGCAUUAAACAAAUGGGACUUGGUUAA